AUUGAACGCUGGCGGCAUGCCUUACACAUGCAAGUCGAACGGCAGCACGGGUGCUUGCACCUGGUGGCGAGUGGCGAACGGGUGAGUAAUACAUCGGAACAUGUCCUGUAGUGGGGGAUAGCCCGGCGAAAGCCGGAUUAAUACCGCAUACGAUCCACGGAUGAAAGCGGGGGACCUUCGGGCCUCGCGCUAUAGGGUUGGCCGAUGGCUGAUUAGCUAGUUGGUGGGGUAAAGGCCUACCAAGGCGACGAUCAGUAGCUGGUCUGGGAGGACGACCAGCCACACUGGGACUGAGACACGGCCCAGACUCCUACGGGAGGCAGCAGUGGGGAAUUUUGGACAAUGGGCGAAAGCCUGAUCCAGCAAUGCCGCGUGUGUGAAGAAGGCCUUCGGGUUGUAAAGCACUUUUGUCCGGAAAGAAAUCCUUGACUCUAAUACAGUCGGGGGAUGACGGUACCGGAAGAAUAAGCACCGGCUAACUACGUG
rnacentral:rRNA from 1 species